AUAUGGUUAUUUCAAAAUUUCCUAUUUAGUUUUAGUUUUAUUUUCCACUUGGGAAAUUUGCCUUUGACUUAGAUCUGUAUUGGAUUUUGGAAGAGUUAGCCGGCCCUUUUAAUGGGCUCAUACACACUUAUUUAUAUUACAAGGUCAAAUCAAUGUGUUGUUCUGUUUGUAAACUUUAUGCUUCUUUUAUUUAUGUUUUCUAAUGAGCUGUCACCAAUUCUGAUAUAGGUGAACCGUUCAGGAAGGCUUGAGAAAGAUGUUCCGCAAUACUUCUUAAGUAUAGAGUUGAAUAAUAUGGAUGUUUCUCUGGAUGAGAUUCAAAUACAACAAAUCUUGAGCAUUUGUGACUAUUUGCUGACAUGUCAAUUGAGAGAGAAUAACAAAAAAGGGAUAAAAUCCCCAAGACAUAAUUUGUGCUCCACAACAAAGAAAAGCAGCAUGAUGCUUGGCGCAGUAUCCCCUCUAUUAGUAUUGAGCAGUGCUAACAUGGACUGGAAAAAGGAAAAGUGACGUGCUAUCAUUUGAAAGUUAAGUGCAACUAUUGGGUAAAGCAUGCAGCUGCGUAUAUGUAGUUUUUUUGUUUCGGCUUUUGACGACAUUGCCACAUGUUUUUUCCCCCUCUAUUUUUUGAGUUCGUACAGAGAUAAAUAUCUCCACUAAGCUUUACUUCCUCUUAUUUAUGUGCAAGAUAUAGGAAGUAAUGCUUCUCAUAAGAGGUGCUUCUUAGCUUGUCGCACUCCUUAAUGUUCCUUGUAUUGCAUGGCUUAGUAUUGGAAUAUCAACACGUGGUUCUGCCCUAAUCACAUCCAAUCAUCAAUGAAUCCGGAAACCACUUGUAUACAGUGGUUUUGCUCCAAUGUACCAAUGAAUACAUUUUCAAAUAUCUGCUUCCAAAUCCUCCCAAAAUUGCCUCUUGACCUCCUGGUCCAAUCCUACCUGGGGCCGUACGCGCUAACCACGUUUACAGUAAACCCUCCAACUACAAGCUUAAUACUCAUCAACCUAUCGUUUACCCUCCUAACCUCGACCACUAACUCCCUGAGUUCCCUGUCAACUAAAAUACCUUCCCUAUUCUUGUCCCCAACGCGUCUUGAGUACCACAAUUUAUACCCGUCUACCACAAUUUCUCUGAAAAAGUUCCUUUGUUGUUCUAACCCACACUAGCUUGUCCUCUUGUUCAGCAGUUCCCCUUAAAAUCUGUAGAAGACUGAAGAAUUCAGUCACCUGCGCACUUUCCAGUCACUCAGAUAUCUCUAAAGGUGAGAUCCCAGCUCUGUUGACUCCAAAUUUCAGCUAAAGUUGCAUCAGGUUGUUGUACUAAGCUGAAAAUAUCUGGAAAGAUCUCUUUGAGAGGGCCAUUCCCAAUCAAGUCAUCAUUCCAAAAGGAAGUCUUCAAGCCAUUUCCAACUUUAAUGCUGAUGUUACUUGCAAAAUCUUGACAAAGGGUUCUAAUUGAUUUCCAUACACUCACUCCAUAAGAAUUGGUAACAGAUCUUGUGCACCACUGCCCUUCUGUCCCCUUUUUGUCAUUUAUCACCUUUCUCCACAAAGCUUGGUCUUCAAAGGGAAUCCCAUUAAAUCAAUAGAGUCCUGUUGUGCUUUCUCAGGUUUCUAAUUCCCUAGCCCCCUUCCUUCUUACUGCAUGUGAGUGACUAUCUACGGUAGCAUCUCUACUCCUUAUUACCUUGCCAAAUGAAAUUCCUCCUCAGUGCAUCAAUUCUCAUUGGCAUGCCAUAAAGAGACGUUAUAUAUGUAGGAAGAGCAUUCA